rnacentral:rRNA from 1 species
UGGGGAAUAUUGCACAAUGGGCGCAAGCCUGAUGCAGCCAUGCCGCGUGUAUGAAGAAGGCCUUCGGGUUGUAAAGUACUUUCAGCGGGGAGGAAGGGAGUAAAGUUAAUACCUUUGCUCAUUGACGUUACCCGCAGAAGAAGCACCGGCUAACUCCGUGCCAGCAGCCGCGGUAAUACGGAGGGGGCAAGCGGUAAUCGGAAUUACUGGGCGUAAAGCGCACGCAGGCGGUUUGUUAAGUCAGAUGUGAAAUCCCCGGGCUCAACCUGGGAACUGCAUCUGAUACUGGCAAGCUUGAGUCUCGUAGAGGGGGGUAGAAUUCCAGGUGUAGCGGUGAAAUGCGUAGAGAUCUGGAGGAAUACCGGUGGCGAAGGCGGCCCCCUGGACGAAGACUGACGCUCAGGUGCGAAAGCGUGGGGAGCAAACA